rnacentral:lncRNA from 1 species
GACCCUAGAGGGAGCGCCGUUUUUUACAUGCUAAAAAACCCAUUAGCUUUCUUCUUCUUUUUCAUGGAAAAAUUAACCUAAAAAGGACCUAGAUCUCUAAGAGUUCAGCCGCAAAGGAUCAUAGAGGACCCCCGCCCCUCCUGUUCUUCACCUUCUUCAACGUUUGAGGAUAGCAUCCAUGACCAUCUUCUUCAACAACAAAAUCAUAGAUCCUAAGUCCUGACACACACAGUCGUUCUUCAUCAGCUGGACAAAAUAAACCAGCGAGAAUGGCAGUCGUUCCCUCUUAAGCUUCAGCUACAGAACCUCUAAGUUAGAUCAUCUCUUUCACCUAAAAAAAUGAUAGAGAAAGAAGCGGCCAAAAAGAUCCCUCAAACUUAAGACUAAAGACCAUCGUUUCCCCCACCCUAUCGCCAUCGCUUCUCUCAACUUGGAGGCAAACAUCCGCCACUGCUUCUUCUUCUCCGGUUGAAAUUCCAGCAAGCUCGAAUUCUAAGUAUCUCAGAGUUGAGUUUGAGUUCGGGUCCAACAAGAUGAGCCGAGGUUGAUUCUGGUUUGAGUUCGAGGUUUCCAUUGAGGUCUUCGGUCGCCGGCUUUUACUUGUAUAUCCAAACAGAAAUCGUUAAAUACCAUUGAAGGUAAAAUGUUCAUGUGAUCUUCUUCUUAGAUAUGUGAUGAAUUUGCAGUGUUUUUUUGUGGUUUAUAAUGUUGUUAAAUGAAAUAAUUCCAGCUGUGAAUACAAUCUUUAUUAACUCUAUACUCUAAUGGCUACUUAAUAACUUUAAUCUCUCUUCAGAUUUCUGUUCGUUUUCUGUUAUUUAUUUUCUAUCCCUUUUACUAUUAUUCUUCUUCUAUGUCAUUUUUGGGUUUAUCACUUUAUUUUUUAAAUAAUUUCAUUAGGAGUAGGAUGAAUUUAAUGGCAUAAUAUUACAAAAGGCAUAUGAGGGUAGUAACUAGUAAAGUGUACGAAAUGUGCAUGCACUAAAAGAAAAAGGAAGUCGAUUGUCCUUGAAACCGUUGUUGCCAUGUUUGUCAUGUUAAAGUGAAUUUAAAUGAAUUUGUGUUUGUCUAUUUGGUCUAUAUUUUCCAUGAAUUUGUUUCAUAUGAAUGCCUUAUGGGGCCGUGGGAUUUGGAUUUAGGCGCAUUUUGGAUUUAUUAUCGUAGUUGUGGACACGUUCGCGUGACAUGAUUAUGAUUUCUAAAAACAAAACUGGAGUAUGCGUUCACGCAACAUCGGCCAAAGUUUCUUAAUAAUAAUAAGUUGUUAUUAAUUGUGGAUACGUUCGCGUGACAUGAUUUUUGACGCGCCAAACAAAUGGGUAUACGUACGCGUGACCCGUUUCAAGAUAAUUUCCUAAUUAAAAGAGGCAAAUGCACAUAGGUUCUAAAAUCAGUAAUCAAACAAUUUGUUUAAUCCAAGUAUGAUCAAAGCGACCGUGCUAGAACCACGGAACUCGGGAAUGCCUAACACCUUCUCCCGGGUUAACAGAAUUCCUUACCCGGAUUUCUGUGUUUGCAGACCGUGAAUAGAGUCAAACUUCCUCGAUUCGGGAUUCUAAACCGGUGACUUGGGACAUCAUAAAUUAUCCCAAGUAGCAACUCUGAAUUUAAUAUGAAUAAUGUCGUUUCGAUUGUCAUUUAAAUUGGAAAAAAUUCCCUUAUACCCCAUUCUCGGAUGUAGUAAAAAGGAAGUGUGACACUGUGUUCCUCUAUUACUUCAUCUGGUUCUUACUGCUCUAAAUCCUCUCUAUAAAUGUUACGUUUGUCAUCAUUAAAUGUUCUUGACUUAUGUUUUGAUAAUCUAACAAACUUACUGUUAAGAACCAGAUAGGGAACCUGACCUACUCGGACUACUGCAAGCUUAACAAAUUCCAGCUAAAGGUGAACUGCUACAGUUUCAAGAGCUAGGAACCCAAACCAGGACCUGAUACCCUUGUGGUUUCCUCAUAAGCAGUACAAAGUCAAUUGAACACAGCUGAAAACGAAGUGACUGACUGCACUGUUUCUGCCGCACUGUAUUGUUUCCAGCGCCCACUCAUUCUCUGACCAACUAAAGUGCUCACAUCAUUUCAAGUGAUAUGAUCUAGGUGUACCUACAACGAUUUUAUACAAAACAUCACUUGAAUGUUUCAGUUUCUUAUUCAAGCUUCUUGCAAAAAUAGAGAAAUCAAUCCUCACAAGCUUGAAGAACAAAGUUGAACGCAACUACGGACCAGUUCCUAAAGAUAGCUUGUUGUUGUCCUAGUUAAGUUGUAACUUUGCGAUUGUACUUAUUGUAUCUCCUAACUGCUUAGCUAGAAGCGUUUGAUUAGGAUUCCUCCUUGAGUUUAUGUUGUGACUAGGUUCAGUCAUAAGCAAAAGUCUUUGUAACUAUAGAGUUACAAAGUGGCUUGUGGUGAGAACAUCACAAGUUAGUAAAAGUCUUUAUAACUAGGAGGUCACNNNNNNNNNNNNNNNNNNNNNNNNNAUAGGUUGUUUACAAGUUAGUGAAGUUGAAAGCCUACAGGUGUAGGUCGUGGUUUUUUGAUCCUCUUGUGUGGUAUUUUUCCACGUAAAAAUCCUCUUCCUUAUUUACGUACUGCUUUAUUAGCAUUCUCAGCAGAAUCUCGUAGAGGAUCAGGUACUCUACAGAUUGGUGGACUCACACAAACUAAUAGUGAUAGAUACAACCCUUAUUGAUCAUCUUCCUCGCCUUGAGAUAGGAAAUAAAUCUACCUCUCGGCGACGUUGUAUUACCUUUUCACUCCAAAACAGGCUCCCUGGAAAUUAAAAUUGGACUAUCUUUGAUCUACAAUAAAUGUUGGCAUGACAAGAACCCAACCAAUCCAUACCCAUUAUAACAUCAAAUUCUACCAUAUCUAACUCGAUUAGGUCUGCUACGGUAGAUCGAUCAUGAACUACUAUUAUACAACUCAUAUAUACUCGCUUAGCUAUCAUUGAGUCCCCAACAGGUGUAGACACCUCAAAAGGUUUAACCAAUUUAGGUUUUAUUUCAAUCUUACUAGCAACCAACGGAGUAACAUAUGAUAAGGUGGAACCUCGGUUAAUCAGUGCAUAUACAUCAUAUGAGGAGACUGAUAAUAUAUACCUGUAACAACAUCGGGCGAUGACUCCUAGUCAUGUCGUCCUACCAACACAUAAAUGCGGUUCUAAGGACUGCUCGAGCUAGAUGCUCUGCCUCUGCUGAUAACUAGGGAUUAUGAUGCAUUUUACACUCUUUCUUGCUUAAGUUUUGAUUAGAAAUGUAUACAAAAUAGUCCUAAAGGCUUACAAAUUAUACUUGAUUGCAGGUUUGAUCAACAAGGUGACAAGGUGUCAAAAACCAGCUCAAAAAGAAGUGAAACUUGCACAAGUACCAAAACCAAGACCAAGCUCAGUCAAACAGCGCCAAUACGGCCGUACACCAUUUUGUGCGGUCCGAAAAGAUGAAGAUCAGAGAGUAUGCUUCUCGGUAAGCCAGGCAAUGAGGCCGCAAAGGACUUUGUGCGGUCCGCAUUAAUUCCACUGCGGUCGCACUCGAUUUCGUGCGGUCCGCAGAGCCAAUGUUCAGAGAGGUGACAUUUUGGGGAACCUGGUCAAUGCGGUUUGCGGUCUAUUUUGUGCGGACCACAAUAGAAGCCACUGCGGUUGCGGUGCAUUUUGUGCGGUCCACGGUGGCCAACUUCAGAGAGAAGAUUAGUCAAGCCAAGAGCCUUAGUGCGGCCGCACUCAAUUUUAUGCAGUCUGCACUAGCCCCGCAGGGGUAUUUUUGUCCAGAAUCUUCAGCCUAGUAUAAAUAGUUUCUUUUCCCAUUUUUAGGUCAUCAGAUAGUUUUGGACGUAGAGCUGCGCUCGUGAAUUCUUCUCUUUUACCAUUUUUAGUAAUUUUAGCUUAGUUUCAACGUUGAAUCUUCAAGUUUUAUUUAGUAAUUAAUUAUUAUGGGGUUUUCUUCAUC